rnacentral:lncRNA from 1 species
GGGGCUCUUCAAGUAUUUGACUUAUGACCUAAGUAGCUGGGCAGGCUGCCUUCUGCAGAAUUCCACAUUAAACAGGAUGAAGAAUAGGUUGUUAGCAGACUGAGGUACUUGGGGCAACAUUUCGUACACAACAGGAGGGAGAAACGACUCCAGAAAAACAAUCAGAUUUUGGUGAAACUGAUGUUUGCAAGUGUGAGUGAGCCCCAUGUGCUGAAGCUUCAGGAACCCCUGAGAUGGCACAAGUUCUGCCGUACUGGGCAACGGAUGGUCUUGAAGCACACAAGACACUGGAAGACAUGAGGGCAAUUGCUACACGCCAAGCCCGGUGCCAAGCACGUUGUGCAGGUUGUUUCGUUGAUUCCGGGCCUGGCCUUUGAGAUCUGUGGAGGAUACCAUGAACUGGCUGGCUCUGCAUCCUGCUUGCAGGCGCUGGCAAGCUGGAACCUGCUUUUCUACGCCACACUGCAGAGGGCCCUGAAUGUGAUCUAUGAUUGCAACAAGCAGCCCUGAUGCGGAUCCGGAGGGCAGGGAUGACGUGGGGGCUGCCUUUCUGGUUGACCUGCUGGUUGUCUUGUGGUAGAGGAGAUUUUGCCUUGCAAUUUUACAUACUUAUGCUACGUGGAAGGCUGGGUGGCGUGACUUCAGGAAAGAGACACACAGAGAGAGAGAGAAAGAGAGAAAGAGAGAACCCACCUACCUGUUUUGCAAAAGUCUCAUGAAUCAUCCCUUCCUGUGGUCCUGCUCCCUGAGAUCCUUUCACCGCUCACAGUGGGCUACUUCUAAGAGCGUGCCUGGCACAGGGUCACUGAGAGCAUAGUCUUAAUAAAACAAUGAUGGAUGCUUGUCUCUCU